GACGAAGGAUGCAAGCGUUAUCCGGAUUCAUUGGGUUUAAAGGGAGCGUAGGUGGUCUUCUAAGUCAGUGGUGAAAUCUCUGGGCUUAACCCAGAAAUUGCCAUUGAUACUGUAGGACUUGAGUAUAGUUGCCGUUGGCGGAAUAUGACAUGUAGUGGUGAAAUACAUAGAGAUGUCAUAGAACACCGAUUGCGAAGGCAGCUAACGAAACUAUAACUGACACUGAGGCUCGAAAGUGCGGGGAUCAAACAGG
rnacentral:rRNA from 1 species